rnacentral:rRNA from 1 species
AAGGUGCUGCAUGGUUGUCGUCAGCUCGUGUCGUGAGAUGUUGGGUUAAGUCCCGCAACGAGCGCAACCCUUAUCCUUAGUUGCCAGCAAGUAAUGCUGGGAACUCUAAGGAGACUGCCAGGGAUAACCUGGAGGAAGGUGGGGAUGACGUCAAAUCAUCAUGCCCCUUACGACCAGGGCUACACACGUGCUACAAUGGUCUAAACAAAGGGAUGCUACCCCGCGAGGUGAAGCUAAUCUCAAAAAUCCGAUCUCAGUCCGGAUUGGAGUCUGCAACUCGACUCCAUGAAGUCGGAAUCGCUAGUAAUCGCGGAUCAAAAAUGCCGCGGUGAAUACGUUCCCGG